CUCCGUGGCUCCGUGCCGGUUCAUAACCCGACCGACCCGACGGACCCGACUGACCGAGCCCAACCACAGACGGACCCGACGGACCCUUCCUCCUCCGCUCCCCGGAUCCAGAGCUAGCUCCGCCAACCAACCCUACUCCGCUCCGCCGCCCUCUCCGCCGGCGACAUCCCCCGCGCUGUUGGCGGGGGACUGGCGCAUGAGCUAGCGCCGGUCCCUCUCACCAUGAGAGGAGCAGACCGCCAACAAGGGCGCCGCCGUGACGGGGGGCUCCAGGCCCGCCGCCUUUUCCUCCUGCCGGUCGCCGCUACCCACUACCUCCCCCAGCUUCCCUCCGUAUCCGCCUCCUUCCAUCGCUCCACGCCCCUCACCAACACCACCGGAGCUGCCUGCACCCUCUCCACGACCUGACCAUUCCAGGUGGAUGUUCUGAAAGCAGCAUUUCUUCCAAUCGAAAAUAUGAAGUUAUAUCUGAUUGUGCGUCGUCGAAACUUUGCUGGGGCACCACAUAUUGUGCCUGCUCUGGAUGGUCCUCGAGAUGGAACUUCAACAUCUGAAUCUCAUGUUUCUGCAUCUUCUACUUCUUCUGAAAGUAUUCAGGAUCUGUCCAAGAUACAGAAACAUGGCCAUCGAAUAAAUUUCGUGUUUCAGUAAAUCUGGUUGAGCUUUCUCUGCAUUCAGGAGCAACAAGGGAUUCCCCUCUGGCUAAAGAAGGUUGAUCUUCCUGUGGAUCUGAAUGCGGCCAGCCUGAAGCUGCUUGAACAUAAUGUCACCUCUCAUCUGGGAGUAAAGCACACAAUGUAGCUCCUUCACUUUGCAGGACACAAACAGCCUGAAGCUACAAAUUUGCAUCGCUGAGCCUCAGGCUAAAGUUGAGAAGCACUGAAGGAUGAAUGGUGGCACGUGAUCGCUUGGUUUAACAUAGGUGAUGAGUCGCUAUGCUGUUUGGCACCUCCUUGAAAAUGUGAACUCAGAUUCGAAUAUAAAUCCUUGUCUUGUAAUUAUUCGAAUAUAAGGUGGUGUUUGGUUCUCUA